rnacentral:rRNA from 1 species
AAAUUGAAGAGUUUGAUCAUGGCUCAGAUUGAACGCUGGCGGCAGGCCUAACACAUGCAAGUCGAACGGUAACAGAAAGCAGCUUGCUGCUUUGCUGACGAGUGGCGGACGGGUGAGUAAUGUCUGGGAAACUGCCUGAUGGAGGGGGAUAACUACUGGAAACGGUAGCUAAUACCGCAUAACGUCGCAAGACCAAAGAGGGGGACCUUCAGGCCUCUUGCCAUCGGAUGUGCCCAGAUGGGAUUAGCUAGUAGGUGGGGUAAAGGCUCACCUAGGCGACGAUCCCUAGCUGGUCUGAGAGGAUGACCAGCCACACUGGAACUGAGACACGGUCCAGACUCCUACGGGAGGCAGCAGUGGGGAAUAUUGCACAAUGGGCGCAAGCCUGAUGCAGCCAUGCCGCGUGUAUGAAGAAGGCCUUCGGGUUGUAAAGUACUUUCAGCGGGGAGGAAGGGAGUAAAGUUAAUACCUUUGCUCAUUGACGUUACCCGCAGAAGAAGCACCGGCUAACUCCGUGCCAGCAGCCGCGGUAAUACGGAGGGUGCAAGCGUUAAUCGGAAUUACUGGGCGUAAAGCGCACGCAGGCGGUUUGUUAAGUCAGAUGUGAAAUCCCCGGGCUCAACCUGGGAACUGCAUCUGAUACUGGCAAGCUUGAGUCUCGUAGAGGGGGGUAGAAUUCCAGGUGUAGCGGUGAAAUGCGUAGAGAUCUGGAGGAAUACCGGUGGCGAAGGCGGCCCCCUGGACGAAGACUGACGCUCAGGUGCGAAAGCGUGGGGAGCAAACAGGAUUAGAUACCCUGGUAGUCCACGCCGUAAACGAUGUCGACUUGGAGGUUGUGCCCUUGAGGCGUGGCUUCCGGAGCUAACGCGUUAAGUCGACCGCCUGGGGAGUACGGCCGCAAGGUUAAAACUCAAAUGAAUUGACGGGGGCCCGCACAAGCGGUGGAGCAUGUGGUUUAAUUCGAUGCAACGCGAAGAACCUUACCUGGUCUUGACAUCCACGGAAGUUUUCAGAGAUGAGAAUGUGCCUUCGGGAACCGUGAGACAGGUGCUGCAUGGCUGUCGUCAGCUCGUGUUGUGAAAUGUUGGGUUAAGUCCCGCAACGAGCGCAACCCUUAUCCUUUGUUGCCAGCGGUCCGGCCGGGAACUCAAAGGAGACUGCCAGUGAUAAACUGGAGGAAGGUGGGGAUGACGUCAAGUCAUCAUGGCCCUUACGACCAGGGCUACACACGUGCUACAAUGGCGCAUACAAAGAGAAGCGACCUCGCGAGAGCAAGCGGACCUCAUAAAGUGCGUCGUAGUCCGGAUUGGAGUCUGCAACUCGACUCCAUGAAGUCGGAAUCGCUAGUAAUCGUGGAUCAGAAUGCCACGGUGAAUACGUUCCCGGGCCUUGUACACACCGCCCGUCACACCAUGGGAGUGGGUUGCAAAAGAAGUAGGUAGCUUAACCUUCGGGAGGGCGCUUACCACUUUGUGAUUCAUGACUGGGGUGAAGUCGUAACAAGGUAACCGUAGGGGAACCUGCGGUUGGAUCACCUCCUUACCUUAAAGAAGC